CUCAUGUCCUCCACCCCUGUUGAUUUGCAUGAACCCUAAUGGCUAAUGUCCCUAAUCAGAAUGGAAUUGGAACCCACCUAACCCCCAGCCAGCCUUGUGUCUCUUCUCUCUCGAGCUCGACAGUCCAUCACUCACGGCGGCUCACGACGGCUCACGGCGUCACCUUCACUUCGUCACUCACUCGUCGCUCCCCUUACCUCGUCGGUCGUCACUCUUAAUCUCUCACGGCCUUACCUCGUCGCGCUCUCGGUCUCUCACCUCGUCCCCUCACCUGGUCGUCGUCUUCUUGCUUCUCAAGGUCUCUGUCUCGCACCUGGCCUCGAUCUCUCCCUUCCCUGCGCUCUUCGUCGCCGGUAGCAGAGGCAACAUAUUCCGGUGGGCUUAUCUUCGUUGUCGUCUUCUUGCUUCGAACCUUGCCGUCAGCUUCUCCCUCGCCAUCAGCUUCUCCUUCGCCGUCAACUUCCUUCUUGCAACCCGAUUUGAAUAAUCACUUUGUUAAGUUUUGCUUCAUCUCUCUGCCCAGGUAACCUCGUGUAAGCUAUGGCGGCAAGUGGGAGAAUCUUUCAAACCUCCUAAGACAUGUACCACAGUUUCAUGGACUUUCCGUGGGUUUUAUGAGAAGGCACUUCUUGAUUAUGAAAGACAUAAGAUAAAAGGUGGUGAGCUGAGUGUUCCAAUUCCUUCACAACCAGAGCCUAUGAAUAUCGAAAAUCAGAAGGCUAUUACGUUUCCAGCAAGAAGAAUAGUUCAUCUGUGCGACUUUGCAUCUCUAUGGUUUUCUACAUGUUUACCUCCCUUCCCCAUCCCUAGGAAAGUAAUGCCUACACGUGGGUUUUAUGGCAUGAAGCAUUGUUAAAUGUGAAUACGUGAUUAAGUUUGAACAACAACAACAACAACAACAAAGCCUUAUCCCACUAGGUUGGAUCGACUACAUGGAUCAAACUACGCCAUUGUGCCCUGUCAUGAUGAUUAAGUUUGAACAAUAGUUUAAAAUGGUUUGAUUUCUACCUUCUUGUAAUGUAGUAGCUGCUUUGCGGGAGGAAUUAAACUGGCGCUCUAUCAUUAUCUGUUUAUAUCUGUUAUCCCUGUUGUUAUUUGUGUUUCAAUGAUGAUUCU